AAAAUUAUUAACUAUUCAUUCAUUGAUCUUCCCACACCAUCUAAUAUUACUACAUGAUGCAACUAUGGCUCGCUUCUUGGCACCUGCCUAAUUCUCCAGAUCAUUACAGGAUUAUUUUUGGCCAUACACUAUAUACCAGACACCUCAAAUGCCUUCUCUUCAUUCACCCAUAUUAGCUGAGAUGUAAAUUACAGCUGAAUGGUUGGCUAUUUUCAUGUUGAUGGCGCCUCAAUAUUUUUCAUCUGCCUCUUCCUACAUGUUGGCCGAGGCUUAUACUAUGGAUCAUUUAUAUUCCUAGAAACC
rnacentral:lncRNA from 1 species